rnacentral:rRNA from 1 species
GUGUCAGCAGCCGCGGUAAUACGAAGGGUGCAAGCGUUACUCGGAAUUACUGGGCGUAAAGCGUGCGUAGGUGGUUCGUUAAGUCUGAUGUGAAAGCCCUGGGCUCAACCUGGGAAUGGCAUUGGAUACUGGCGACCUAGAGUGCGGUAGAGGGUAGCGGAAUUCCCGGUGUAGCAGUGAAAUGCGUAGAUAUCGGGAGGAACAUCCGUGGCGAAGGCGGCUACCUGGACCAGCACUGACACUGAGGCACGAAAGCGUGGGGAGCAAACAGGAUUAGAUACCCUGGUAGUCC